rnacentral:rRNA from 1 species
UUGUCCGGAAUUAUUGGGCGUAAAGCGCGCGCAUGCGGAUCAUGCAAUCUGUCUUAGAUCUUCCGGGCUUAGCCCCGUGAGGCGAUGGAAACUGCUGAUCUAAAAUAUCAGAGAAGAUAGUGGAGUUCCUAGUGUAUCGGUGAAGUGCUUAAAUAUUACGAAUAACACCAGUGGCUAACGCGACUUUCUGGACCACUACUGACGCUGAGGCGCGAAAGCCAGGGGAGCGAACGGGAUUAGAUACCCCGGUAGUCCUGACCGAAAGCAAUGGGUAAUAGGUGUAGGAGGUAUCGACCCUUUGUGUGCCGGAGUUAACGCAAUACGUACCCCGCGUGGAGAGUACGACCGCAAGGUUGAAUCUCAAAGGAAUAGACGGGGGCCCGCACAAGCGGUGGAGUAUGUGGUAAUAAUUAGACGCAACGAAGAAGCACCUUCACUGGUCUAGAUCACUGAGCGACACAAAUAGAGAUAGUUCCUCUUCUUCGGAAGCCCAGAAAACACGUGGUGCACGGUUGUGUGUCAGGUUGUGUGUGUGAGAAGUGUGGGGUAAGUUCCGCAACGAACGCCACCCCUAUCUUAUGUUGCCAGCCAGUAAAGGGGGCAAUUCAUGAGAGACUCCGGCAGCCAAUGCGGAGGAAGGGGGGGAGGAGGUCAAUUCUUCAUCCCCCUUAUGACUUGGGUUCCCCACGUAUUCCAAUGGGAGUUAAUAGGCGGAAGAGAGAUCGAGAGAGGGAGCAUACCCGAGAAACACUCUCUCAGUUCGGAUCGUAGGGCGCAUCUCGCGCACGAGAAGUGGGAAUCUAUAGUAAUCGCAGGUCCGCAUAGUGCGGAGAAUACGUUCCCGCGCCUUGCACACACCCCCUGUCACCCCGAGAAAGUCGGACGUGCCCAAAGCCGGAGGGGUACCCUUCGGGAGCCAGCCGUCUAAGGUAAAGCAGAUGAUUGGGGUGA